ACACUGUGUACCACAGCCACGACAGGCCAAGGAAAGCAGAGCUGGCAGAUGUGGAAACUGUGGGCUACGUCACCCCGAUUCUCUGCCAGAACCAGAGACCAAGUGUGUUGAAAACGUCACGGAGUUGGCGUUGACACAGAUUAAGGUCUAACUGUGUUUUACAUGAUCAAGCCUCAAGUGUGUAAGCACACGCCCCCCGUAACUGCGUGCAGGGGUGACUUAGGACACAAAAAUGUGUUGCACGCACUCCGAAAGACCUCCGACAUAGACAGCGCUGUCAGUGGCACGUUUCUCUGCAGGUCCCCUGAAACCACGCGUCUUAACUGAUCUUGGGGGCUCAUGUCACCCUCACAGGACUCCACAUACAGCAGACACUAAUUACUUCCAGGGGUUUAUUUUACCAAAUAAUCCUCAGUGAGACAAAGAGUAUUUGAAACACCGGCUGGACAAUUUACAAUCUGCGGCGAAAUAUUUGUUUGGGUAGCAGCUGUUGCAUAUGAGACGUCAUCACAGUGCAGACAGCUCAGGAAUGACACGUAGCUAGGAAACACAGGCGGUGUCUUAUUGGAGCAGGAAUUUCAUUGUCUUUUACUGGAAGAGCCCCUGGGGACUGACACAGCAUUGGGUUUAAAAAGAACUCUGUAAUUUUUAAGAAGUUUGAAAAUGAGUUAGCCUGUGGAUUUGCCAGAGUCAGGCAUGAUGCUGUGUCCACUGGAACGAGAAUGAGUAACGUCUGUGUCCCCGCCCAGAAAGUUCGCAGUCUCUCACAAAAGAACCUUCUGGCUGUUCCCGUGGGCGCGAGUGUGUACGUCUUAAUUCACAGAAAGAGAAGAAGGCUGCCGAGCGGUUAGCAGAUGGACCCAACUGGACUCGUUCGCUCCUGAAGAUUGGAUUCUCGGUGGGCUGACUCCCCGCCUUCCCACCAGCGAGGGGGCGCUCCGUUACUAGCCCAGGACGUGUGCCCUGUGAGUAUUUGGAGGGGCGAUGGAUGUCAGGUACCCACGGGGAACUUCACUAGCUUCGAAGAAGGAAAAUGUCUAGAAACUGGGCUGGCUGAUUUAUCACAGUAACCAAAGGGUUUUCAAAGAGCAGGUUUCCCCCGAGACAUCAGUGCCUCCUUCAACUAACAUGCCCUUGGCGUCGGCGUGCGAGCAGGCACUGUGUAGGCCACACUGUUUUAACGGCCCUGGGAACCCCGGAGAAGGACGUCUGCCCAGAACCCACUAGUCGAAAGGUCGACUCACUGAUUUAUCUACUUCUGGUGAAAUACCUACUGGCAUUUCUUAACCCGGGUUAUGAGUGAUAAAAAACAGAGAUGUUUUGCUAACAUGGAAAGAAAAAUUACACGCAUCCUUGAACUCCCACCGACGGGGCUGCAGGAUGUUGACCUUGAGGUCGAAGGGGCCAGGCCCUGAGCCGUCUGUUCCCUGAGCUCUCCUGCAGGAAAUGCGUGUGCUGUGACUUGCAACACUCCUAGAAUACCUUUGUGAGCUGAGCGAUUGCAUGCAGGUGUCUGAUGCAGCAAACAGACCACGGGGACGCCAGCCUCUCCGGAAGUGUCCACACCAGCUGAUUUAAGUCGCUCGAGAUUUAUGGCCCCUGCACCAAAGAUGGGAACUCAGAUCUUGUUGCUGCAGUGACUUGUGUAAGAGAAAAGCGAGAGGCUGUAUUGUAAGCAGGUGCCACAGGGAGCACGUGCCUUGGCGUCUGGGGAGGUGUGAACAGGCGCUUAGUGGUCCCCGUUGUCCACUGUCCCAUCAGGAUGCUCCCAGCUGACGCGUGCCAGGAAACGGACCACAAAGAAAACUUGCAGGCAUAGGAGGACAAUAUCCCGUCUUGGAAUUUCUCAGCUGGAUCCAGCUCGUUUUCGGUUAUGCGAUGAUGGGUGUCUCUUUGUGGAUAUUAUCUUAAGAAUAAAACGUUCUCGGCUCUUCCGUUUUUCCAAAGUGUGAACACUCAAGUGAAGAAUUAAACAAGCAGUUUAAUUCUUGUUUCAUCUUACCAUUAUUCAUAUUUUAGAGGGGAAAAAAGUUCAUUCUUAACAUAGAAAGAGCCGAAAUGGGAAAAAUAAAAGCGUCGUGGAUGGAAUCUCAAGUUUUUAAUGAACGUAGGACAAACCGGGUUUGUGGUGUUGCUGUUGGUCAUUGUAGCUCCAUUGAGAAUUGGGCAUCUGUGCUCACGAUCCCUCUUGUGUUCAUCGUAAAGGUGUGAGGUAAUGAAUUCACUUGGCCAGCACACAGCGAGAGUGUGCUAAGGCUGUCGUGGACACACAUUUAGGCUCACGAUUAAAAAAAAAAAAAAUGAUUCCGUGACCUGUUACUUUUGAAAAUCUGGCCGCACCUGUCAUCACGGAACGGGAGUUUGGGCCCAGGUGGAGAGAUGGCUGGUUUCGAAAGCAGUAGGUACCGUAUUUUACGUAACAUUGACGCACGGGCAGCGGUCGGUGUCUGAGGAUGGACGGGGCGGGUGAUGACGAAGAUGAACUUUGCAUGGGAGCGACACGCACGUCACCCAGUUUAGAGCAGUGCCUUCCCCCCGGACUCUGGCUGGAGGCUGCUCUUCAUGUGACAGCGGCCGGCGAGGGGAGCCCUUCUGCGACUUUGUUUUCCACCGUGAGGGCGCCCGAGCAGGGGGACCUCAGAGGCCUGAGGAGGAGGAAGCCGCCACGCUUUACUUGGAGCCGCCUCGGCCAUGCUGUCUCCACGCAUUCGGCAUCUGAGACCCGGGGGUCAGUGUACACAACACCCCGUGCUUCUUUCCAGGACAGAAAGAGAAGAGAACAUUCUAGACCGAGUGUCAUGUGUCACGGUCACCAAUCACCAAGUCUCGUGACAUGCGUUCUAUGCAUCGAGCGAGAACUACUUUAAUAUUUUAAAACCCAUUCGGAAAUACAAAUAAGAAGCCUCGUGAUCAUUCAUUUCAUCUAAAUGUAUUUUCUGCCGAUACUUUUUUCACCUGGCCCUGUGCCUUCCCCUCGAACGAGGGGAGGGAAAGUUGCAUUUCCCCCACAUCAAGAAAGAUCGUUGGCAACAAGGAAUUGGGGGUCUCAAUUCCUCCAAUACAUCCGUCGUCUUGACACCACCUCUGAUCAUCAGUAAUGAUAUUAAACUCCGAACGCUUUGAGCAAAUCGUACACCCGUAAUUAAAUUUGGAUGCUGUGUCUGGAAGCUAAGUUCGAAUUAUUUUUUUUUUCAUAUUUCGUUUGAUAAUGCUACUUCUGUGAACAUUGGCCAUAACCAUGGAAUAAAGCAUACACAUUAUAUUACCGUUUGCCAUAGAAAAAUAAGCGCAUUGAAAAACAUGCAUUAUUAAAGUUAGAGUCUGGAAAAGCAUGACGGUUCCCGGCUUUUCCAUUGGCCCUCGAGCUCUGCAGAAGUUUUGCAUUUGCUGCGAAGAAGCUCAGGCCCCCAGACACUACGCAGACGCCCACGGCGGGAUCCCACACGGCCUGAGACACCCGGAUGCUCGCCGGUGCGGUCUGGCUAAGGGUCCAGCCACCAUCGUGACCUGGAUCGCAUCGUCGUGUGUCUCUAAUUUCCUUCAUCUAUCAGCAGCCCCUCCAUCUCUCGUUGUAUGUCGUGACCUCGAUAUUGUCAUGUCGGUGCCAUUAUUUUGUCGAAUACCCUUCGACGUGAGUUGGUCCCAGUGAUUCCUAGUGAUGGGACUCAGUCUGUGCAUUUGGGGCAAGGAUGCCACCUAAGUGACAGCGUGCACCCUCCUGUGCCUCACGGCAGGAGGCCCACGUGAUCUCUUUGUGUCCUGUUACUGGGAUGUUAAAUUUCAUCACUUGGCUACGUCGUAUUUCCCUGAUUUUCUCCCGCGAAUUGGCUAAUCUCCCCUUUGCCAUCCAUCCGAAAUUUGCGACGUUGCUUAGAAAUCAGUGCGACAUUUUGGGGCUACGUUUCCAUCGUCUCGUUCGUCAAACUCGGCUUGCCAGCUCCUGGCCGUUGCCACCAACGUGAUGGCUGCAAGGUGGUGCUUUCCUAGCUGCAUCCCUUAGUCAGCUGGAGAAGGUCUCUCCAUCAUUAUGAACUCACGGAUGACACACGUGCAAAUCUUUGAAGCGAGCGAGCUCUUGCAAACGGGCGGCUGUGCACGUUUGACGCAUCCCCAACAAGUGCCGGCACUCCACGACGGAACGUUCUCUUUUUCAAGAAGCUUCUGGCUCUAAACGACUAUUUAGCAGUUGCACUGGAUUCUGCUCCGUCCUUUGAAGUAGCACGGUGUCCGUUUAAGAGAUGACAGGACAGCAGCCAGACAAAAAAGGAAAAGCCACGGUAAAUCUCUCCACUGUGCACUCGUAAUGGGCUCAGCUGAAAACGUUAACACCCAGAUAGGUGUGUGCCGGGAAGGAGCCGCAAGACGAGGAUUUCAAGCCGCCCAGUGGAACGGGAGAGAGGCAGCUCAGCAGGUGCUUUAAAACUAAGCGCUUCGCAAUGAGACAUUUGUAGGAGGGAUUUAAGGCCUUAUCUAAAUUCCCAUGUCCUGAACUGGGAAUGAAGAAACAUUUAAUGAAGCUCUUUAUACGAUGCAGACCUGGCAUUUAUCAUCAGAGACUUCGCUGUACAACGAAUUAAAAACAGCCAUUCAUUAGGGUUUCAUGAGCUCUGAAAUGGAUGCCGGGCUCCGUCACAGGAGGGAUGCUUGGAGCGCCUUCGGUGCGUUUUGUACGUCUGGAUGUUCUCUCUAAGAAAGCCGGUAUAAAUGCACUAGUGCAGUGGUCCCCAGCCUUCGUGGCACCAGGGACUCUAACGCCUUUGGAUCUGAGGCAGAACUGAGGCGGUGAGGCUGGCGCUGGGGAGCGGCUGCAGAUACAGGUGAAGCUUCGCUCACCUCCUGCUGUGCGGCCCGGGGGUUGGGGACCCCUGCACAAGAGUCAAUAAAUGAAUAAACAUGGGUAUCUUUUUUUUUCUGUCACUCAUGAAGAAAAGCUGCAAACCAGUUAUUGAAACCUGGUGAACUCCAGGAAGUUGUUAUAAAGCUCCUGUGCUUCCUUAACACCCAGCAUGGACCAGCAUCUGAGACGCUGCCCUGUAUGCCGUGUUGCUCGGAGACCGGAUAAAUGCCGACGUGUUGUUUUGGGCCUUCCGUGAGGAAGCCGGGACCUGCCCAAUGACAGUGUGGCAGGGGAACGCAGGUCCCCAGGCGUCUGUGUCCACCCCGUGGCAGAGGACACAAGCCUGCGUGGGGAGGACAGUUGGCUGCGGGCCUGGCCUUGAGCAGAAUUUGGCCCAGUCUGGGUGCCACUUCUGGGAACCUCUGAGGGGACAUUGAGGGGGAGUUCUGACGGCUGAUGGCAGGACAGAUGCCAGCUCAUUGGCAUCUUCUCCCAGGCCUGGGACCAGAAUCACAGCCUGACGUUUGCGGUGAAGGAGGUGCUGUACGUGAACUUGGUAAUGAAGAAGGCACGAAAAUGCUUUGCCUCACUCCUCACAGAAAUACCGGGGCAUCUUCUAUCGGCCAUGUCGCGUAGGAUAAUGAUGACCUUGGGGAACAGGGGACCAGUGAGUGCGUUCAAUAUUAAAUGCUCGACCUGCAAAUGCAUUCGGGUUGGGUAGAAAUGUGAUUAUCCUCAUGCGGACAAACAAUAGUCCUGGGUCUUCAAACUACCCAUCGAUGAAUAAACUUGUUCUAAGUUAAGGAAAAUAAUUUCUUAAUGAUACUUAGGUCUAACAUUUGAUGUCGUUCAUUCAGUAAUCACUGAUCUCUAUAUAACUGUUGUAAAAAGAAAUUUCGCUCAUGCAAAAUGACCACAAAAGUACAUCUUCCAUCUAAAUUCUCAUUCGACUGGGCAGGUGAGCGCUCAGAAACACAGGAUCGAGCCAAAGGUUACGGACUUCACUGCUCAAAUUAUUUUCUAAACCAGAACAUUUAGUCAUAUGAAAUCUGCAGGAGGAGCUUCUUUUAAUUGUCCUCUUAAAAUCUCCAGUCUAGACGCGCAGAUUUAGUGUCCAUCCCAGCGGUUAAUUGACAGAAAGAGAAUGAUAAGUGGGAACGAGGCAAAUAUUGGCCAGUCUCUGGGUGGUGGUGAGUCAUGCCCGACAAAACCGAUGUUGCCUAUAGAAAAGAGGACUUUUCUUCAAGUCGGUGACUGAGUCCGUAAAAGUCAGUCCCCCGAAGUUUCCCAAAUGCCCUCAGACACUAAGAAGGAGUGAUGAUUUUAUGCGUAAAAUAAUAAAACGACUGUGAUUUCUCCCCUGCUAUGUGGAUAAGGGAAGGAAGACAGGAAAAAAAAAAAAAGGAAAUGAUUUCAUAAAAUGCUUCACGUUACCUGUAUUCAUUAGUGUGCAUGCCACUUGCCAACGCCAGGUCCCGCUGGGAGAAAGUCAGCCUAAGUCAGGUUGCGGGCACAUUGCAACAGCCUUCAGUUCUGUACUCAGCAAAAACCUCCCUAAGGCAGGGGGUCUCCUCUUUCUCUGGCUGCGUAUUGGGAUCAGUUCUGAAGCUCUAAAAAUUCCCACCUUCAGGAUUCCGUUGGAAUCAGUCAGGUGUAACUCAAAAACAAACACAAAGCAGGAUUAACAAACCAGGGAAAAAACCUUCCGACGUAUCAAGUCUCAUUGACGUUGAACUUACUGUCCGUCUAGACGCAGAUAAAUAUAUUUAGUAUCACAGAUAAAUAUAUUUAGUAUCACCUGCAUACACAUUUCAUACCUAUAUACAUAGUAUGUUAUAUGUAAGUACCUAGUAUGUCGUACGUGCACACAUGUAAAACCAUGUGGUUAUUCACAGGCUACACGGUACCUUUGUAACCCGAGUUUUGGGAGGACAGGCUAGCAGGUUAAUGGUCACCUGCCAGGAUGCUGGCCUGGCGUUCAUGGCCUGGCUUCAUUUUCAGACUCUGGCACUCUCUAGCCAUCUGCUCUUGGGCAGCUGCCUCGGACAAUUUGUGUCUCAGCAUUCGGGGGCCACCAGCCCCAGACCGUGGCAGUACAAAUGAAUGACCUAACGCCGAUAACGCGUUUAGCCGAGGGCUUUGUGAUUCGUCAGCCCCCGGUACAUGCCCGCUCUAGAGGUUAAUUCUGUUAGCUGUUUCUCCAAGCAGAGUGCAGAGGGGGCUUUACGAUCGAUACGAGGUGACCGCAGCGAAGGAGGGUUGGUUUCCGUCACUUAGAAUGAACCCGACCGCAUUUGAUGGGCGCUGGCUGGUGAGGGGGAAAGAUCUGUCUGGGGUGGGAAGGUGGUUCAAAAUCAGUGUUGGCUGCACGUGGCUCCUGACGCAAUAGUGUCUGUUCUUCCAUUCAAUCUGCCUGUCUUGGGCUACAUUUAAGUGCCCAGAACCCACCUCUCCACAGCUAUUAUUGCAUGAGGCUGAGAAAGAGAUGGCUCUGUGUUUGAUCAAUAUUUCUCGCAAUAAA